rnacentral:lncRNA from 1 species
GGAAGUGCAUGUUAGAUGCAGCGCUUGCCACACUCAAUGCCCAUGGGAAGGAGAAUGUCAACUCACUGCUGCCCGUGUUUGAGGAGUUCCUGAAGGACGCGCCCAAUGAUGCCAGCUACGACGCCGUGCGACAGAGUGUGGUGGUUCUGAUGGGCUCUUUGGCCAAGCACCUGGACAAGAGUGACCCCAAAGUGAAACCCAUUGUUGCCAAGCUCAUUGCCGCCCUCUCCACACCUUCUCAGCAGGUCCAGGAGUCAGUCGCCAGCUGCUUACCGCCACUUGUGCCUGCCGUCAAGGAGGACGCUGGGGGCAUGAUUCAGCGGCUCAUGCAGCAGCUGCUGGAGUCAGACAAGUACGCAGAGCGCAAGGGGGCCGCGUACGGGCUGGCGGGCCUGGUGAAAGGCCUGGGCAUCCUUUCCCUGAAGCAGCAGGAAAUGAUGGCUGCACUCACCGAUGCUAUCCAGGACAAGAAGAACUUCCGAAGGCGAGAGGGUGGGUGUCCCUGAGCCCAGUGUUGACAGCAC